AAAAGUGCAUCUCUGCACUCCUCCCCUGUUCUUGUAUCUCUGUCCUACAGCCCUGUUGGGGGAAAUGCUGUACAAAGACUUUGUGUCGGGGAAGAAGAGAGGAAUCCGUUCAUUGAUUUAGCAAACAUUUACGAAGCCCAAACUAUGUGCCAGACCCUGGUCUAGAUUCUCAGGAUACAGCAGUGACCAAAGCAGAUCUUGUCUUCAGGGAACUGACAUUUGGGUGGGGGCGAGCAGAUAUGAAAUGAGGAAACAUGAAUUAGCAAGGUCACUUUGGACACUACAAAGACAAGCAAAUGGGCUACUGGGAUAGAGAGUGAGUGGGUGUAGGGGGGGCAUCAUUAGCUAUGGUGGUCAGGGAGGGCUUCUUUGAAGAGGUGACAUCUGAGCUAAGACCUGAAGGAGAAAGAUCCAGCUCUGUGAAGAUCCAGGAGAGGAGCAUCCGGGCAGAGGAAAGAGAUUUCAACCCUCACAAAUCACGUUUGACAUUAUUACCUCCAUUUAUUGAGCACUUACUAUGUGCCAGGCUCUCUUCUAAGAACUUUACACGCAAUACAUUGUUCAAUACUCCCCAAAUCCAUGACUGUCAUCCAAUUUUACAGAUGAGGAAACUGACCCACAGAGAAGUUAAGCACUUUGUUCAAGGCCACACCGUUAGCAAGUAGCAGAGCUGGGAUUUGAACCCAGGUCUGCUCUAUCUUCCGGCUUAUAUAGGUUGUUCCCUAUCCUCAGAGCAUAGGGAGGAGAAAAAUUAAUUGUUGAGCACCUACCAAGCACCAGGCUCUUUGACUUCCAUCAUCUUUACCUGCUCUUACCUCCGAAGACUAUCCAUGGUCCCCUGCCACGCACCCCUGCCACGUACGUCUCUUUCCUCCUCUCUGUCGUCACCUGUAUCUACUCCCAACUCCAACAGUGGCCAUGCAACCCAUUCUGGUCCAACCCCCAUAGUUCAACCCUUCUAGUCAUAGUGAUUGGCUGAAGGAUGGGCAUGUGACCAAGAUGGGCCAAUGAGAGCAAAUCCUGGGACUUUGGCUGAACUGCCAGGGAGGACGAGUUCUUAUUUGAGGGGCACAGUCUAGCUGGGAGGCUGGAAGUGUGGAAAACCAGAGAGCUUGGCUGAGAGUGAAGCUGGCCCAGGGGAAGGCAGAGACAAAAGACAGGGAGAAACUGAGUUGCAACUGACAACAUCGCUCGAGGGGCUGCCUGUAUGGAGCUAGAAGC